CUGGCGCAGGACGGGAGCAGCCUGGAGGCGCUGCUCAGGACGGAUCCCCUGGACAAGCGCUCCCUGCCCGACGCGCGCGGGGACGACGAGAGCCUGGGCGAGUUCCCGGUCACCAACAGCCGCGCCCGCAAGGUGGCGCCGGGAGCCCGCGGGAAUUCGGGAUAACAGGAAUUCCGGCGGGAAUUCGGGGAUUCCAGUGGGAAUUUGGGAUAUUGGGAAUUCCAGUGGGAACUCAGGAUCCUGGGAAUUCCAGCCAGGAAUU
rnacentral:lncRNA from 1 species